rnacentral:lncRNA from 1 species
GAGCUGUUUGUCAUAAGACAGAUUUCAACCCCUAUUUGCCUAUUGUUCAGUAAAGUCCCUAUACACCCAUACAGGUCAAUUGGUUCUAUUUGCUGAAUAGGACAUUCACAUGGCUACAGGCUUUCCAGAAGCUCAGUACUGGGCAAGCUGAUUUUGAGAUGCACGUGAUAGGCGUUGAUGAAUGUUGUUGGCAUAAACGUCUGGGGUAUAAAUAUAUGCAUGUGACAAAAGAAAACCUCUCUGAGACAUGAACAUGAAACCUGUGCAUUCAGGGCCGGGGGAUACUAGUUGCAAACAGAACAAUGAACUCAGAUGACUCUUGAAUCCCUAGGGCCUGAGGAAAAGCAGAUUCUCUUUGGGAACACUGUCCCAUCUCAGGGCACAGAAGACUCUAGAAACGAGACCCACAAAGAUGAACUCCUGAGGAAAAAAGAUUAAAAUCCACAAUUGAAUCCACCACAAAGUGCUGGUAGUUGAAACUCAAGCCACAUUAGGUGACUAAGACUGUUUUGCAGGGACUGGGGAGAUGGCUCCACGGUUAAAGGUGCUUGCUGCUCUUCCAGAAGGAACAAGUUCAGUUCUCAGCACCCAAGGGAAGCUCACAACCCCCUGUAGCUCCAGCAUCAUGGGGUCUCAAACCCUUUUCCUGCCUCAUCGGACAUCCUCACACGUGUUGCGUACACAUGCACGCACAUUACAUAUAAAUAAAAAACAUUAAAAACCUUUUUUGU